CACCCAGACUGGGCAUCCAGAUAACUGCUAAGACGUUCCGACUGGGUAGAGGCUCCCCUGGUGAUUAAUGGGCCCACAGGCUCACUUGCUCCUCUGUGUUACCCACCUACCUUCCACUGGGAUGGAAGAUUCCGGCAGGCCGGCAAGCACGUCGCCCAAAUUUGGUGGAGCAGGGACCUGAAAAUGAUGUAUUGGACCUGCUCCUCCCGUCACCCCCCGCCCCCCAACGUAAGACUGACUGAGUCAAGUUCUCUCUCCUCUAUGGUCUCACAGCACCUCGGAUGCUCCGCGGUAAUAGGUUCUUAGUUGUUUAGAUUUCUUCAAAGAAGCAGCAAUUCUGCCUCAAGAUUCAACACAGAAAUCCUGCCUGAGUUUCCAGCCUGCCUGACUUGCCCUGUAGAUUUCAUACUCAAGACUACAAUUUCAACUCUUACCUAAAUCUCCAGCCU